rnacentral:lncRNA from 1 species
GUUUAUAAAAGACGAAGUUCGUUUAGUCUAGAGAAUACCCGAACAACGACAAGCUCUGAGAUCGUUGAUUCACGAGAGAAUGCCGAAAUCAAGAGAAGAGAUGAACUAGAAGUUCUUAUGAUUAAUGAAUAAAGCGUGAUCUCAACUCACGUUACAAGUUCGUAUAAAUACAUGAAAGAGAUCCUAAAACCUAGGAGAUAAAGACGACUAACUGUAAAGAUAAAUAUAACGUCCUAAGAAAAGCCCAACUACUAAUGCAAUCCUAACUACUGAAUCUAAUAAACGAAACUGAUUCCCUCC